rnacentral:rRNA from 1 species
AGAGUUUGAUCCUGGCUCAGGACGAACGCUGGCGGCGUGCCUAAUACAUGCAAGUAGAACGCUGAAGAGAGGAGCUUGCUCUUCUUGGAUGAGUUGCGAACGGGUGAGUAACGCGUAGGUAACCUGCCUUGUAGCGGGGGAUAACUAUUGGAAACGAUAGCUAAUACCGCAUAACAAUGGAUGACACAUGUCAUUUAUUUGAAAGGGGCAAUUGCUCCACUACAAGAUGGACCUGCGUUGUAUUAGCUAGUAGGUGAGGUAAUGGCUCACCUAGGCGACGAUACAUAGCCGACCUGAGAGGGUGAUCGGCCACACUGGGACUGAGACACGGCCCAGACUCCUACGGGAGGCAGCAGUAGGGAAUCCUCGGCAAUGGGGGCAACCCUGACCGAGCAACGCCGCGUGAGUGAAGAAGGUUUUCGGAUCGUAAAGCUCUGUUGUAAGUCAAGAACGGGUGUGAGAGUGGAAAGUUCACACUGUGACGGUAGCUUACCAGAAAGGGACGGCUAACUACGUGCCAGCAGCCGCGGUAAUACGUAGGUCCCGAGCGUUGUCCGGAUUUAUUGGGCGUAAAGCGAGCGCAGGCGGUUUGAUAAGUCUGAAGUUAAAGGCUGUGGCUCAACCAUAGUUCGCUUUGGAAACUGUCAAACUUGAGUGCAGAAGGGGAGAGUGGAAUUCCAUGUGUAGCGGUGAAAUGCGUAGAUAUAUGGAGGAACACCGGUGGCGAAAGCGGCUCUCUGGUCUGUAACUGACGCUGAGGCUCGAAAGCGUGGGGAGCGAACAGGAUUAGAUACCCUGGUAGUCCACGCCGUAAACGAUGAGUGCUAGGUGUUGGAUCCUUUCCGGGAUUCAGUGCCGCAGCUAACGCAUUAAGCACUCCGCCUGGGGAGUACGACCGCAAGGUUGAAACUCAAAGGAAUUGACGGGGGCCCGCACAAGCGGUGGAGCAUGUGGUUUAAUUCGAAGCAACGCGAAGAACCUUACCAGGUCUUGACAUCCCGAUGCUAUUUCUAGAGAUAGAAAGUUACUUCGGUACAUCGGUGACAGGUGGUGCAUGGUUGUCGUCAGCUCGUGUCGUGAGAUGUUGGGUUAAGUCCCGCAACGAGCGCAACCCCUAUUGUUAGUUGCCAUCAUUCAGUUGGGCACUCUAGCGAGACUGCCGGUAAUAAACCGGAGGAAGGUGGGGAUGACGUCAAAUCAUCAUGCCCCUUAUGACCUGGGCUACACACGUGCUACAAUGGUUGGUACAACGAGUUGCGAGUCGGUGACGGCGAGCUAAUCUCUUAAAGCCAAUCUCAGUUCGGAUUGUAGGCUGCAACUCGCCUACAUGAAGUCGGAAUCGCUAGUAAUCGCGGAUCAGCACGCCGCGGUGAAUACGUUCCCGGGCCUUGUACACACCGCCCGUCACACCACGAGAGUUUGUAACACCCGAAGUCGGUGAGGUAACCUUUUGGAGCCAGCCGCCUAAGGUGGGACAGAUGAUUGGGGUGAAGUCGUAACAAGGUA